rnacentral:rRNA from 1 species
UACGUAGGGUCCGAGCGUUGUCCGGAAUUAUUGGGCGUAAAGGGCUCGUAGGCGGUUUGUCGCGUCGGGAGUGAAAACACGGGGCUUAACCCCGUGCCUGCUUCCGAUACGGGCAGACUAGAGGUAUGCAGGGGAGAACGGAAUUCCUGGUGUAGCGGUGAAAUGCGUAGAUAUCGGCAGGAACACCCAGGGGGAAACCAGCCGCCUGGGCAAGCGCUGACGCUGAGGUGCGAGAGCGUGGGGAGCGAACCGG